GACGAACGCUGGCGGCGUGCUUAACACAUGCAAGUCGAACGGAAAGGCCCGGCUUUUGUGGGGUGCUCGAGUGGCGAACGGGGGAGUAACACGUGAGUAACCUGCCCUUUACGAUGGGAUAACUUCAGGAAACUGGGGUUAAAUCCGGAAAGGAAUUUCGGCUCCCGUGGGGGGAUGGGGAAGGUCGGGCUUGUCGUCAGUUAUUGAUGGCUCUGCGGCUUAUCGGCUUGUUGGUGGGUUAACGGGUUACCAAGGGUUUGCCGGGUAGCCGGCCUGAGAGGGUGACCGGCCACAUUGGGACUGAGAUACGGCCCAGACUCCUACGGGAGGCAGCAGUGGGGAAUAUUGCACAAUGGGCGGGAGCCUGAUGCAGCAACGCCGCGUGCGGGAUGACGGCCUUCGGGUUGUAAACCGCUUUCGCCUGUGCCGAAGCGUGAGUGACGGUACUGGGUAAAGAAGCACCGGCUAACUACGUG
rnacentral:rRNA from 1 species